UGGGGAAUAUUGGACAAUGGGCGCAAGCCUGAUCCAGCCAUGCCGCGUGUGUGAAGAAGGCCUUUUGGUUGUAAAGCACUUUAAGCGAGGAGGAGGCUACUUGGAUUAAUACUCUAGGAUAGUGGACGUUACUCGCAGAAUAAGCACCGGCUAACUCUGUGCCAGCAGCCGCGGUAAUACAGAGGGUGCGAGCGUUAAUCGGAUUUACUGGGCGUAAUGCGUGCGUAGGCGGCUUCUUAAGUCGGAUGUGAAAUCCCUGAGCUUAACUUAGGAAUUGCAUUCGAUCCUGGGAAGCUAGAGUAUGGGAGAGGAUGGUAGAAUUCCAGGUGUAGCGGUGAAAUACGUAGAGAACUAGAGGAAUACCGAUGGCGAAGGCAGCCAUCUGACCUAAUACUGACGCUGAGGUACGAAAGCAUCGGGAGCAAACAGG
rnacentral:rRNA from 1 species